rnacentral:rRNA from 1 species
AACGAACGCUGGCGGCAUGCCUAACACAUGCAAGUCGAACGGUCCCUUCGGGGAUAGUGGCGCACGGGUGCGUAACGCGUGGGAACCUGCCCUUAGGUUCGGAAUAACUCAGAGAAAUUUGAGCUAAUACCGGUUAAUGUCUUCGGACCAAAGAUUUAUCGCCUUUGGAUGGGCCCGCGUUGGAUUAGCUGGUUGGUGGGGUAAAGGCCUACCAAGGCGACGAUCCAUAGCUGGUCUGAGAGGAUGAUCAGCCACGAUGGGACUGAGACACGGCCCAGACUCCUACGGGAGGCAGCAGUGGGGAAUAUUGGACAAUGGGCGAAAGCCUGAUACAGCAAUGCCGCGGGAGUGAUGAAGGCCUUAGGGUUGUAAAGCUCUUUUACCCGGGAUGAUAAUGACAGUACCGGGAGAAUAAGCCCCGGCUAACUCCGUG